GUCUCUUUGGAUGGGUGAUAAUUUAAAAUAUAAGGAGUCGGACCUGCCCGGUGACUAAGUGUUAAACGGCCGCGGUACCCUAACCGUGCAAAGGUAGCAUAAUCAUUUGCCUUUUAAUUGAAGGCUGGUAUGAAUGGUUUGACGAGAGCUAGGCUGUCUCUUUCGAAAUAUUUAGAAUUUAACUUUUAGGUGAAGAGGCCUAAAUUUAUUUAAGGGACAAGAAGACCCUAUUGAGCUUUAGUGGUGCUGGCAAUAUAAAAGUAAUUUUGUCUCUGUAGUAGUUACAAGUUUAAUUGCUCGUUAGAUCUUUAGUUGGGGCGACUGAGGAACACAUUAAGCUUCCUCUAAUUUAGUUGAUUAAGUGAACUAGAGACUGCAGUUUAUAUAAUUCAUACGUGUUAUUUGAUCCAAAUUGAUUUGAUCAGAGGAAAAAGUUACCAUAGGGAUAACAGCGUAAUCUUUCUGGAGAGAUCUAAUCGAAAGAAAGGUUUGCGACCUCGAUGUUGGACUAAGAUAUCCCAAGGGCGCAGAAGCUCUUGAAGGUUGGUCUGUUCGACCAUUAAAAUCUU
rnacentral:rRNA from 1 species